UUGUGUGGUAGAUUUAACGUUUUCACAGCUUUUAGAUUGCUGGAUGAGGCAAUAAGAUAACAAUAUCAAUUCAAGUCCCACAAAGACAGAGAAUAAAGGUAUAUUAUUGCUGAACCUGUAGUGCUUUUUGUCAAAAACGGUAAAGCCAAGUAUGACACUCUCAUAAUUAAGAUGAGACUGUGGGGAAAAGCUAGAUAUAAGGGUCAUGAUACCAGUCCAGAGUUUUUUUGGUACAAUCAUAGUCCCAAAACAAACGAGUCUUCAAAUGUGUUCAGCCUGAAAGGCACAGAAUGAGCACACAUUGGUAGCAGAAUUAUUUUUAAAUCUACACAUUUACUGUUUGGUAGGAUAGCAUCUGUGGACAAGUUUAUAUGUCACUUCUUUAACUUUAACUUUGUUUGUAACAAAAUAUUUUUGAGGUAGAGACCAACCCUUUUUCCAGUUAAUUCUGUGCACGUACCUAUUCCAAUAAGCAAUAGCACAGGGUUGAGAAAUGAUUUGCUGUGGAACAUGAAAACAGAGGUGUAUCCCACCUCUCGCCCAUGACCGUUGGACCCUCUCUCCAUCUUGGAACACUGCAUGGAAAAGUUUGGAUUUUGUGCAAUAGACUGAUAUGUGUAAUUUUCAGACAUUUUUAAUUAAUAAAAAUAAAAAGCUCAAAAGUGCAACAUGGAUUCAAUCCCACUAAGUAAAAUCCAGUGCACCAAAUUACAUGCUGACUUCGGGAUUUCUUUGUUUUCUGCUUGAAUUAUUACAUUAGUGCUUAUGAACAAAGAUGGGAGAGAUCAAGAAAAAUAAAAUAGAAAUAUAGGAACAUUAAAAUGCAGUGAAGACUCAAGUGACGUGGCACCAAAAAGACCCUUAAACUGUCAUUUGAGAUCAAAGUAAUAUGUCUGAAAGCAAUCUAAUUUGUUAGUUGAUCUAAAUGCACCUUCAUUGCUUUAAUCGCUUUGAUUGGAUUAAACAACAAAACUGCUGCUGCCAGUUUGUUGAAAUCAUGAUCAUGAUGUCACUAACUUAUCUGGUUAAACCCAGUAUUAUAGCAGCAUGUAAAAUAAGUGAGCCAUUACUGAGAAGUCUUGUUUACAGGAUGAUAAAAACUAUGCAGGGGGUCAUAGGAAACAUGUGGAAAAAGCAGCUGGUCAGGUAUAUUAAAAUUAAACAUUUGGCCCAAAUGCAAAACGCUAAGCUUAACUCCGCUCCUCCCCCAGAAAGCAUCCUCCAGGUGGUGAGACAUGGUGGUGGCAGCAUCCCAGUGAUGCUUUCCUCCGGCAGGGAACGGGAAGGUGUCCAGAGGUGCUCGCGCGCGGAUCCGUCCGGACGGCGCGCGAGCAGGUAGGAGCGCCGUUGGCGUUCACUUGACGCGGACGAAGGCGCAGUGUUCUCCAAAAACACAGGGGCGCAGUACUCAACCUAAUCACUGGAAAUGCAGUAAACAAGAGACGAAGCUGUUGACGUCACACGCCCAAAAUGGCCGCGCGCGUGAGCCGCAACUUGAAUGGGGCUGAGUUGCGCUCACUGAGCUAUAUAGCUCAGUGGUUGCGCUGUGUUUGUGGCAGCUUAACAGAAACAAGCGACGGAGAAGAAGAUGACACCUUGGUUGCAUACCUGUAAUACAGCAGACUUCUGCUACUGCUAGGCAUCACCUCCCUGCAACCAACGAUCAGAGCUGCAGCUUGCAGUCCAAUUUGAUGCGCCCCUUUCCAAGUGUCCGCCUUGAUAAUGGGCAGAAAGUCUACAACUACAGAUGCGCUAGAGAUAGAUAAGUGAUCAAAAUUCGACCAGGAUGGCCCAUAAAAUGUCCACACUGAUGCGCCAACCUCUCCUGCAUCCAGGUACAUACCGCAGAGUUUUGCUCAUGGACCAAAGGCAUCAGAGGACCUCCUGCCCGGAGCCAGGGCGAAUGCAGGAGUUGCAACAGCAACAGCUGUUAAAAUCUGAGAAGAACUGAGGUCCUUCUUUCCCACACCACAACGACUGAGAUGCUAGCAGGACUCAGUAAAACAGCGAGGAUGCUUAAAUUGAAAGCGUGCAGUUUGACUGUCAUGGCUUCAUUUAAAUCACCGUGGAAAACCAUUAUGACCUGUUUUUUUCUUAAACACAAACACCGUGUAUAGUAAAGAACGUUUAAACGACACAGAUGGAAAAAGUAAAAAAUAAGAUUUUUUUUUAUUUGUACAGUUUAGACAUUUUCACACAAAACACACUAAUGAAAAACGUUGUGCGUUUGCAAAUAAAGAAAGAGAACGCGUCAGCAUCUUUCUCCCAUCACGUAGGCUUUUGUCUCCCAUAGGGAUUAUCUUUCUGGCUUUG